UAAAACCCUCAAGUAAUUGGAUGGAAUUUCUAUGUGCCUCUUCCCAGCAAGCAUCCCUUACCCUUUUGGGGGAGACAUGGCUAUAUGUCAGGCCUGUGAGAACCCAAUGCAGGAACAGCAUGUGAUAUGAAAAUGGAAACUGUCAGAUUGAAACCAUACAUGGCGAAGUCAAAAAGAGACUCUUUCUUGCACUGUUUCAGAGGAUCUUCUGUCUCAUGCUAGCAGUGGAAUAGGAAAAGGACUCAAAAGACUUCUACUGGCCAUAAUGAAGUACCUGUUACUAUAUUUGCUUUCCUACCAUAAGCAACUAUAAAACUGGACAAUAUAUAGGCAACUGAUCUCAUGCAUUUCAAGCAGCACAGGAUUCUGAUAAUUAACAGAAGGAAAGCACAUGAGGAUAAUACUGGAGGCUGCCAUGGGAGAAGUCUGCACAAAAAGAGCAAGUUUAAGAGCUUCAGGAGUCAUAAAUGGCUUGAGAAGAUUAUGCUAGAGAUUGAAGCAGAUGGAAGAUUCUAGAAACAGAAAGCAUUCUUUUCAUUGGUGUGAGUCUUGAAUAUAAAUGGAAAUCAGAGGUCUGUAAUAGCAGGCCAGUGUGGAUAAGGCAGUAAGGUUUUGAGUCUGAGGAGAUGGCUGGGGGCAGUUUGUAGACUUAUUGUCAGUCCAGUGUAGAAUUUGAGAAUAUAGCCAGGGCUUAAGGUUCCAGUUUCAAAUUAAAGACAAAAGAAAUCAGCAAUACCAAAAUGAAG
rnacentral:lncRNA from 10 species